GCAAACUUGGUCAUUUAGAGGAAGUAAAAGUCGUAACAAGGUUUCCGUAGGUGAACCUGCGGAAGGAUCAUUACUAAAGGUUUGUAAAGCGAUCCUGCCGCCUUUUUGGCGGUAGGAUCGCUUUAUAAAAAACCUCAGAAUUUGAUUCACCCUUUGUGCACUCACUUGGGACCGUUCUCUCGUAAUUGAGGAUCGGCUCCUUAUCUUACGCUUUAAUUUUGUCUGAAAUUUGAACUAAAAUUGUAAUACAACUUUCAACAACGGAUCUCUUGGCUCUCGCAUCGAUGAAGAACGCAGC
rnacentral:misc_RNA from 1 species